ACCAAGACAACUAAAAAGCAUCUAAGAAAAAUGUGAGAAAUAGUUAAAUUCGUUAUACUAAAAAGAGGGGAGGGCAGGCCCUCAGUUACAACCAUCAGUUAAAAAGAAAGGAAGAGAAAUCCUAAAUGAAAUACCACAUUAUAAGAUUUCUGUGACACCAAACACCAUUAAAAAAAUCCACCACCGCAAAUAAGUAUGUAUUCAGGAAAAUAACCGUUACUUGGUGCAUAAAGAUGACAUAAUGCUAGUGACUAAAAUGGUCAGAAAACAGCUUCGAUAAAAUUAGAGCAGAAUAGGAAUAUUUAACACAAAUCAAUCAAAUGCAUCAAUGCAAUAACAAAAGCUUUUGCCUUUGUAGCAAAGUCACAGCAAUUCAUAAACACAACAUUAUAUAGAUGGUAAUUUAUUUAGUUUGUCUUUUAUUGGCAAAGAAGAGAUGAAACUAGAGUCAUUGCUGGAUUCAAAUUUUAUCAUAAAAUUAAAUUCUAAAUAAAAUGUCCAAUGCCAAUGAUAAAAUAACACGAUCUCGAAUGCUUUUGAGAAUGUCUAGGUAAUGCUGUGGAAAAGAAAAUG
rnacentral:misc_RNA from 1 species